rnacentral:SRP_RNA from 1 species
GCCGGGCCCGUGGCUGGUGCCUGUGAUCCCAGCGGCGGGGGAGGCUGAGGCCGGCGGAUCGCUUGAGCUCAGGAGUUCUGGGCUGCAGCGGGCUGUGCCGAGCGGGUGUCCGCACUGAGUUCGGCAUCGAUAUGGGGAUCCCGGGGAAGCUCGGGGUCCCCAGGUUGCCUAAGAAGGGGUGAACCGGCCCAGGUCGGAAACGGAGCAGGUCAAAGCUCCCGUGCCGAUCAGUAGUGGGAUCGCGCCUGUGAAUGGCCCCUGCAGCGUAGCCUGGGCGAGACAGUGAGACCCGGUCUCUU